rnacentral:lncRNA from 1 species
AUGCACAAUGCGAAACCUAGGCCCCAGCUUUUGCACCAUGAUGCACAGGGUUGUACUUUUUGUACUGAACUGAUAGGUGGCCUAGUGGUUAUGCCCUGUACUACCAUUUUGAGGAUCUGGACUCCGUUCCUGCCUUGCUCUUUGGACCAACCACAUUGUCAAUUCACACCGAGGCUCAACAUCACAAGGAGAAAAGCACUAACUCAAUUUUAAGAUAAUCGGUUGGUAUUAUUAACCUAAUUCUCAACUUUAAAAAAACCAGUUUGGUGAUGAACUUAAUUAGAAUUGUGCCAGAUUAGACCCACAGUUGAUAUAUAACAUAGAGCACCCUGUUAAAAAUAGAAAAGAUCAGAGAGCACUUACUUUGCCUGUCUGCUUUAUAAGUAAUCGGAACAUACUAGAUAAGGGUAUCUACUCUCCUUCUUUGUCAGCGGGCCAGGGUUUGUGGUCCUACCAUCAGUGGAAGUAGGAAAUAUUACAAGUUGUACGUGUUUUGACUUGACU